GUAUCCCUAACCUCAUCCCCACCAUCCCAUCCAUCGCCUGCAAUGGAUCCGCCGCCGCCCUGAUCCCGACCAUCCGCCGCCGCUCCCUGCACCAUCCACCGCCGCUGCUCACCCCCAUCACCUCCAUAGCCACCAUGGACCAUCUCUCUCCUCGCUCCUCUCUCUUGGAUCAGCAUGCGGCGACGGAUGCUUCCGGUCGCGUGGUCGUGAUGCGGCUGGUCGGGGAACGAUGUUACUGUGACAGGUGCUCUGCUCUCCUGCGGUAGCGAUGCGUAUGGCGACAACAAUGUCCUUUUGUUCCCCUCCACUCUUCGGACCGCCAAUGCACGGAAGUAUGCGGAGAAAAUAACGCUCCGCUCAGAAAAUUCGUGUUCUAAGUGGCUGCUCGGCAAGAGCUUGUGCCGGAUGUUCAUCAUCAACGCCAGUGAGGGGUUCAGGCUCCUGUUGAACUCAUGGCAUCAGCCAUAUGGACCUGCAUGUAUUUGAUAGUUUGCUCAAUCAGAUUUAUCCCUUCAACCACAGCUGAGGCUACCACACUACUUCAUUGACAUUUCUUUCCUACAGGACAUGGAUUUAUAAUCUCCAACAAUACGGUCAUGCUUCUUAUAUUUACUUUCAGUUCUAAAUACAUUUGUGAUUUUCUAUAUGCUGUCUUACUAAACUGUGUGUGCUAAACCAACCAUAUAGUAUAUAGAAAGGAUUCUAAAAUGUUAGCUUAUAUUGCAAACUCUUCAAAAUAUGCGGUCGUUUUACUGUUUUUGCCGUGAACUUGGGGAGCUUGGGACAGAGUAUGGUGUCAAUAAUCAGUAUAUACCAGAACAAUAUUUUUGUGAUAUUGUAUAUACUGACUUAGUGAUAAUGGAAUAUUUACCAAAUUUUUGCCAUGGGAUCUAUACUGCACUUUUGAAUUGGUUAGAAUAGCUGCGCCUUUUUUAUCUUCCUUGCUGUAUAUGCUACCAUCAAAGGGAGUAUAUAAGGUACUAAUUUCAAGUAUAUACUAUUGUACUACAUUUUGUCUAUAUACAUCUACAAAUUGUACUACAUUUUGUCUACAUUUUGUCUAUAUACAUUUUGUCUAUAUACAUCUACAUAUUGUACUACAUUUUAUCUUCCUUGCUGUAUGUGCACUGCUCUUUGUGCACGGCAGUAUAUACAUCAUUUUUUGUAAGGCAAUAUAUAACAGCUUUUUUGUGAACCAGUAUACUACUUUUCUUAGUCAGUAUAUAUAUACAUAAUCUUUUAGUCGAUAUAUACUACUUUUCUUUAGUCGGUAUAUACUACUGUUCUUGAUACAAAGGGUAAAGCAGCGCACACAUGACACACAGCAGCCGUUGUCGACUAGACGGUGGUGCCGCUGAAUGGAUCUAUCAGUGCAUGCCAUGCCACCACCGUUUCUUAUUGUUGCCGUUGUUGAUGAGGUUGGCAGUGUCGUCGCAUGGGUCGAUCAGUGCACACCAUGCUGCCAUGUUGUUGACGAGAUGGUGGUGCCAUCUUAUCCAUCGAUGCUAUGUGACUAGCUUCGUCAAUGGCUUUGCACCUUGAUCCAGAUUGUUUUCAUGCAAACCUGUCAUGUUUGCCUAUUAAUGACCACAUCAGCUAAGUCAUCUCUCUCUCUCUCUCUCUCUCUCUCUCUCUCUCUCUGUCUCUCUCUACUACUACUACUGCAACUAACUAACUGUGAUGAUCUUCUCCAGGUUUUUUGGCUGGAUACUGAGAUGGCACCAUUGUGCUGCUGAAGUUAAACCCUGUUUAUUGGGACGUACAAGCGGGCGGCAAGCACACAUGGCGGCCGGAGACAAGCCAUAUUUUUCCAAUGACAGCUGCUAGGAUUGAUGUCCUAUUGCCGGAGAAACAAUGCCAACCGUCGUCGGUCGCACCGUUUUGUCCAUCUAUGAUAUCAUCCAUGUCUAUUAUUUUGUUGACAAUCA